CUGGUCUCGAGUGGCGGGUAGAUAUUGGUUGAAUUUCAUCUAGCACCAUUUGAAAUCAGUAC
rnacentral:pre_miRNA from 1 species